UGGACCCAGAGUGGGGUGAAACUCACUGAAGAAUAUGCACUCUAUUCGAGUUGUCAUGUUCAACAUGGACCUUUCCUCCUCCUGUGUUAUGCUAGCUUCUAGCUGUAGCGUUAAAAACGAGCAGAUUUGGCGCUGCCUCACCAGACCCACAUGCAGCGCUCCGGCCUUUCCUGCGGGCCGGAUCACGGCGCUUCAGGCUCUGGAUGUUUGGAAGAGGCACUUUGUGGAGAACGGUGUGACGGAGCCUGAACAGUCGAGCCAAUACAUCAUCGCUCAUCUGCUUGGAGCGAAAACAAUAGAAAGUGUCGAGCAGCAGAGGUUAGCAGAGUUCCUCAGCAAAGAGGAAACGCAGCAGGUGUGGCGGCUCUGCUCCAAACGUCUCUCCAGAAUGCCGGUGCAGUUCGUCAUUGAGGAGUGGGACUUCAGAGACCUGACGCUGAAGAUGAGGCCUCCAGUUUUCAUACCCAGGCCUGAAACCGAGGAGUUGGUUGAACUGGUGCUCACAGAUCUGCAGAAUCAUCCCGGGUCCACAGAGACGACGCCAACGUGUUUGGAAGUGGGUUGCGGUUCUGGUGCCAUUUCUCUCAGCCUGCUGAAGAGCCUCCCUCAGCUCGAAGCCUUUGCCUUGGAGCGAAGCCAGGAUGCAGUUGAUUUAAGCCGGGAGAAUGCGUCGAGGUUGGGGCUUCAGGACAGACUAAAGGUUUAUCAUAUGGACGUGAUAAAAGAUGCAGAACAGAUGCCAGGUCUGUUUAGCUCCAUUUCAGUGUUGGUCAGUAACCCUCCUUACCUGUUUUCAGAGGACAUGGCAACCCUGGAGCCUGAAAUUUCUAGGGGGACCAGAAGAAAAUCUUUGGUAACCACUGAUCUAGUGAAUGAGUCCAGUGAGCGGCUGCAUGCUGCCAUGCUGUGUGAAAUGCUGCUUCUGCUCAGCUUCGUUCAGGGUUUGAGGAUCGCGCCGCGUUAGAUGGAGGUGAAGAUGGACUGAAUGUGAUCAGACAGAUUUUAACUCUGGCUCCAGACUUUCUGUCAAACAGAGGGUAAGGCAGCCAACACACACACACACACACCUAGGUUUAAUUCCUAAUGGCACCUAUACGCAGAAGGGGCCGUCUCUGAAAAACACACGUAUCAUGUUGCGUGUUUAACAAGCUUUCUGCGAGGCGUCCCCUGAACCCAGUUCCAGGCAGACGCUGCCUCCAUCAAGGUCACCCACCGCCUGUAAUCCUGUUGUGUUAAUUUGAUUUUAAGCCUUUUUCAUCUCAAUCCUCCCUUUGAUAAACAACAGCCGGAUUUACUUGGAGGUGGACCCCAGACACCCUGCGCUCAUUCGCCGCUGGGUGGAGGACAACGUGGAGGAGCUCCGGUUCGUGGAAACACGGCAGGACGUCAGCGGCAAGCCUCGUUUCUGCAUCCUCCAGAAAGAGGAGUCACAUAAGGCCCCCGAGGUGGAUCAGGAUUGAGAAACCCAGAUCCUAUUACGCUGGCUUUAGCUCAGGUCGCCUCGGCUCCCCCCCCCAACACCUGACCCAAUCUCCUCAAAAUUAACAAUUUCACACAAAUAGUUUCCGUACCAACGCUGCACUUUUAACCAGCGGACAGUCAGCAAACACGCCCCAUCUCGCAAUAAAAAAAAAAAAAGAGGAAAGUGUGUGUGCGACGGCACAAAGCAGGCUCAGAGCUGAAGGUAAUUACCAAAGCUUUUCUUAGAACGCUCCCUCUCAGAAUCCGCCUCUCUCCUCCCAGGAAGCAUUCAGUAGUUCUGUGAAUCCGCUGAUGAGCGGUCCUCCCCUUUUGCUUGUCCACCCCGCUGACUCAGAUUGCAUCGUUGAGCAAAAAGACACACUCAAAACGCGAUCCGAAUUCAAGCUCAAAGGCCGCACAAAGCCUUUGUGUCUCAAAGGUUUUGUGUGGCGAAAACAUUUCACAACGACGAGCGUCACAAGAGCCGGCAGCAUGUGACUGUUAGUGGUGCGGAGUUGUUGAAAUAACUGGAUUUUAAGCAGCACAGAAAUUGUAAGUUCCAGUUUUAAUAGAAAAAAAUGUACACAUGUAAAAAGUACAAAAAUGGUUUUGCUGAGAAAAAUAAAAUGGCAUGAAAGACG